rnacentral:rRNA from 1 species
UACAGAGGGAGCAAGCGUUGUUCGGAAUUACUGGGCGUAAAGGGCGCGCAGGCGGACUUGUAAGUCAGGCGUGAAAACUAUCGGCUCAACUGAUAGAUUGCGUUUGAGACUGCAGGUCUUGAGUACGGGAGAGGAAGGUGGAACUCUGCGUGUAGCGGUGAAAUGCGUAGAUAUGCAGAGGAACACCAGUGGCGAAGGCGGCCUUCUAGCCCGAUACUGACGCUGAGGCGCGAAAGCGUGGGGAGCAAACAGG